AUUACUUUGGCAGAAUAGUGCAUUAAAUUUAGAAUUUAAUAAAAUAUAUUUAAUUUAUAUAAGUAAUA
rnacentral:tRNA from 1 species